rnacentral:rRNA from 1 species
AUGCUUUAACAUGCAGUCGAACGGCAGCACGGGGCAACCUGGUGGCGAGUGGCGAACGGGUGAGUAAUAUAUCGGAACGUGCCCAAUCGUGGGGGAUAACGUAGCGAAAGUUACGCUAAUACCGCAUACGAUCUACGGAUGAAAGCGGGGGAUCGCAAGACCUCGCGCGAAUGGAGCGGCCGAUAUCAGAUUAGGUAGUUGGUGGGGUAAAGGCUCACCAAGCCAACGAUCUGUAGCUGGUCUGAGAGGACGACCAGCCACACUGGAACUGAGACACGGUCCAGACUCCUACGGGAGGCAGCAGUGGGGAAUUUUGGACAAUGGGCGAAAGCCUGAUCCAGCCAUUCCGCGUGCAGGAUGAAGGCCUUCGGGUUGUAAACUGCUUUUGUACGGAACGAAACGGCCUGUCCUAAUACGAUGGGCUAAUGACGGUACCGUAAGAAUAAGCACCGGCUAACUACGUGCCAGCAGCCGCGGUAAUACGUAGGGUGCAAGCGUUAAUCGGAAUUACUGGGCGUAAAGCGUGCGCAGGCGGUUAUAUAAGACAGAUGUGAAAUCCCCGGGCUCAACCUGGGAACUGCAUUUGUGACUGUAUAGCUAGAGUACGGCAGAGGGGGGUAGAAUUCCGCGUGUAGCAGUGAAAUGCGUAGAUAUGCGGAGGAACACCGAUGGCGAAGGCAAUCCCCUGGGCCUGUACUGACGCUCAUGCACGAAAGCGUGGGGAGCAAACAGGAUUAGAUACCCUGGUAGUCCACGCCCUAAACGAUGUCAACUGGUUGUUGGGUCUUCACUGACUCAGUA